rnacentral:rRNA from 1 species
GACGAACGCUGGCGGCGUGCCUAAUACAUGCAAGUCGAACGGACCUUGCUUUAACGGAUUGGAGUACUUGUACAAAGAGAAGAUAGAGCGCUGGUUAGUGGCGAACGGGUGAGUAACACGUAGGUAACCUGGCAAUAAGACGAGGACAACUAUUGGAAACGAUAGCUAAUACUGGAUGUGGUGUGAGGAAGGCAUCUUCUUCAUAUUAAAGGAGCUACGGCUUCACUUAUUGAUGGACCUGCGGCGCAUUAGCUAGUUGGUAAGGUAGAGGCUUACCAAGGCAAUGAUGCGUAGCCGAUCUGAGAGGAUAAACGGCCACACUGGGACUGAGAUACGGCCCAGACUCCUACGGGAGGCAGCAGUAGGGAAUUUUCCACAAUGGGCGCAAGCCUGAUGGAGCAACGCCGCGUGAAUGAAGAAGGUCUUCGGAUCGUAAAGUUCUGUUAUUAGAGAAGAACACGUGUAAGAGUAACUGAUUAUGCGUUGACGGUAUCUAAUCAGCAAGUCACGGCUAACUACGUGCCAGCCGCCGC